rnacentral:tRNA from 2 species
GGGUGGAGCAGCUCGGUAGCUCGCUGGGCUCAUAACCCAGAGGUCGCAGGUUCAAAUCCUGUCCCCGCUA